rnacentral:rRNA from 1 species
GACGAACGCUGGCGGCGUGCUUAACACAUGCAAGUCGAACGGAAAGGCCCUGCUUUUGUGGGGUGCUCGAGUGGCGAACGGGUGAGUAACACGUGAGUAACCUGCCCUUGACUUUGGGAUAACUUCAGGAAACUGGGGCUAAUACCGGAUAGGAGCUCCUGCUGCAUGGUGGGGGUUGGAAAGUUUCGGCGGUUGGGGAUGGACUCGCGGCUUAUCAGCUUGUUGGUGGGGUAGUGGCUUACCAAGGCUUUGACGGGUAGCCGGCCUGAGAGGGUGACCGGCCACAAUGGGACUGAGAUACGGCCCAGACUCCUACGGGAGGCAGCAGUGGGGAAUAUUGCACAAUGGGCGCAAGCCUGAUGCAGCAACGCCGCGUGCGGGAUGACGGCCUGCGGGUUGUAAACCGCUUUCGCCUGUGACGAAGCGUGAGUGACGGUAAUGGGUAAAGAAGCACCGGCUAACUACGUG